UUUUCUUUUUUUUUUUUUGAUUUUUUUUAAAACAACGUAAAGUUAAAAGAAACCCUAAACUUUUUGUCUUCUUUCACAGCGGCAGCAUAUUGGAGACCACAAUAACGUAUUUAUUCCUCUCUUUAUCUCCUCUUCUUCUUCUUUCCUCUUUCUCUCUCCUCUUCUUCUAUUCUCUCUUCUUCUCUCAAUCACGCCACAACAUAACUUUAAUUUUUUUCUAUUUUAAUUUUUUUCUUCUCUUCUC
rnacentral:misc_RNA from 1 species